UGAUAGGACUAGGAGCCCUACCGGAGUUGCUGCGUAGGUUGUAGGGGUGGAAGAUUGGAGGGCGAGGCCUGAGACCUCGGCAACGGCGCGUGGGCGCCGUUCUGCUGGCUGGAGCAGUUAGGGCAAAGGCGGCUAGGGUUUCUCCCGGCUCCCUGAGGAAGCCGGAAACAAUAAUAUGUUUCUGCUUAAUCCCCUCUGAAUAGUUCUUACAAUAUAUAUAGGUCUCUGGAAUAUAAUAUGAAAAUUAAUCUAAUUUAUCUCUAAUAAAUAUAAUAAAUAUGGGCCUUGACCCCAGCAGCCGCCAGCACCCCUUAGCCACCAUUGGGCCUGCGGCGCUGGUAUUGGAUGCCUGUCAUAACAUCUCUCCCCGCCUGCGCAAACAGCUCGUCCUCGAGCUGGAAGUCGGGGUAGAAGGUCUUGAACUCGUCGACCAGCUCCCAUGUCGCAUCCUCUUCAGGAAAGCCUCGCCACUGAAUAAGCACCUGCCACGAGCCGCGGCGUUGUUGGGCACGGAGCGCCUUGGCUGGAGCUGGAGCCAACCGGCCGUCUAAAGUCGGCCCAAGAGCUCCUGGGGCAGAUGGGGGGUCUCCACGGUGGCGCUUGAGCAAGCCCACAUGAAAGACAUCGUGAAGACGCGCGCCCUCCGGAAGUUGAAGACGGUAGGCGACAUUGCCCACGCGCUCCAAGAUGCAGAAUGGCCCAGCAUACCGGGGGCCGAGCUUCCCUUUGGCGCCGGGCACCAGAGACUGGGUUGUGCGGUUGAGCAGCCGCAACCAAACCCAGUCCCCCACCUGGAACUCGACGUCGCGGUGGCCUGCAUCGUAGUAUUUCUUGGACAGCUGCUGCGCCUGGAGCAGACGCUGGCGUACCUCCGCCAGGACCUCGUCCCGGGAGCGAAGAAGAGCAUCCGCGGCCUCUGUACGAGCCGUGCCCGGUGUAUAGGGCAGGAGAGGCGGCGGGGAGCGGCCGUAGACAACCUCGAAUGGCGUGGCGCGAAGGGCGGUGUGGAAGGACGUGUUGUAGCAAUACUCCGCCCAUGAGAGCCAAUCCACCCAUGCCCGGGGACGAUCACCUGUUACACAACGUAAGUACAUGGCAAUCACCUUGUUGACCACCUCCGACUGGCCGUCCGUCUGCGGGUGAAAGGCGGUACUCAUGCGUAACUUGACGCCGGCCAUCUGGAAGAGAUCACGCCACACCCGACCUGUAAACACGGGAUCCCGGUCGCUGACAAUGGAGAGGGGAAACCCGUGAAGGCGGACGAUGCCGUCGAAGAAGGCGCGAGCGACGGUCGUGGCGGUGUAGGGAUGACUCAGCGCGAUGAAGUGGGCGUAUUUGGAGAAGCGAUCCACCACCGUCAGGAUGACAGACUUGCCCGCAACCUUGGGCAGGCCCUCGAUGAAGUCCAUUGAUAUAUCCGCCCAUACCUGGGUGGGUACAUCAAGGGGCUGCAAGAGUCCAGCCGGCUGCACCGUCUCCGUCUUGUUGCGCUGGCAUGUGGUACAAGAACGUACCAAGUCCUGGACCAGCACACGGUCCCGUGGGAUGAAGAAGUGAGCGCGGAGGCGAUGGAGCGUCUUCUGGAUGCCCUCGUGGCCAGCCGUAUGCGCCAAAAGGAGCACCUGCUGUCGUAGAUCUCCAUAGUCUGGUACCCAGACACGGGAACCAUGGAGGAGCAGGCCGUCAACGACAUGCCAGGGGUCGCCCAGCUCGCCGGCCCGCAACUGGUCCAGUAGCGCGCAGCUAUCUAGUGCUGUCGUCGUGGCACGUCGGAUUUCGUCCAGGAGGGCGAACGACGGGCCGGACACGGCGAACACCGCCCCGACACUCGCAGGUGGUCGAGCAGCCACCUCGUCCUCAGCAUCGCGGCGGGAUAGAGCAUCCGCCACAGUAUUGUAGCGCCCCGGUCGGUACUCCACCGAGAAGUCGAAGCCGAACAAUUUGCUGAUCCACUGAUGUUGGGGCACUGUAGACAAACGCUGGUCCAGCAAAAACUUCAAGCUGUAAUGAUCCGUGCGAACCAGGAAGUGACGCCCCCACAGAUAUGGGCGCCAGUGACGGACCGCCUGUACCAACCCAAUGAGUUCGCGUUCAUACGCGGCCAACUUGAGGUGGCGAGCCGCAAAGGGCCGGCUGAAGUAGGCGAGGGGUCCAGCGCCCUGGUGCAGCACCGCGCCGAACCCCGCCCCCGACGCGUCGCAGUCCACCAUGAAGGGUUCGUCGAAGUUGGGCAUCUGGAGAACUGGGCCCGUGGUCAAGGCGCGCUUGAGCGCCUCAAAUGCCGUCGUUGCGUCGUCGUCCCACGCAAACGCGUCUCGCCGCAAGAGACGCGUCAGGGGAGCCGCGAUGAUGCCGAAGUCCUGGAUAAACUUCCGGUAGUAUCCGGCAAGGCCGAGGAAACCACGCAGACCGCGCGCCGAACGCGGUGGUGGCCACGCCGCCACCGCGGCCACCUUGUCGGCGUCCAUGGCCACUCCUCCUUCUGCGAUCACAUGGCCCAGAUAGGCCACCGAAGAUGCUCCAAAGGAGCACUUAGAGCGCUUGAGGUGGAGGUGGUGCGCCCGUAGUGCGCUGAGGACGAUGCCGACGUGCUGCAAAUGCUCGGACCACGAGGAGCUGUAAAUUAAGAUGUCAUCAAAAAAUACCAGCACGAACCGCCGCAAGUAGGGUCGCAGGACGUCGUUCAUCAAAGCCUGGAAGGUUGCCGGGGCGUUGGAUAGCCCGAACGGCAUCACCAGGAACUCGAAAUGGCCGUGAUGCGUCCUGAACGCCGUCUUGGCGAUGUCCUCUAGGUGCAUGCGCACCUGGUGGUAGCCGGAACGUAGGUCGAGCUUGGUGAAGAAGCGCGCCCCGUGGAGCUCAUCCAAGAGCUCGUCAACGACGGGGAUCGGGAAUUUGUCCUUGGAGGUCUUGGCAUUGAGGGCGCGGUAGUCGAUGCAGGAGCGCCACGAGGAAUCGGCCUUCCGCACCAAGAGGACGGGCGCGGAGAAGGGAGAUGUGCUCGGUCUGAUGAUCCCUUGCGCAAGCAUAGCGGCGCAUUGAUGUUCCAGCUCAUCCUUCUGCAGCUGCGGGUACCGAUAUGGGCGCACCGCGACGGGGGCUGUACCGGGCAGCAGAUGGAUGCGGUGAUCGUAGGGGCGAGCUGGCGGCAGCCCCUUGGGCUCGUCGAAGAUGUGGGCGUGCUGCUCCAGAAGACGGUCCAGGAGGGGUAGCUGCGGGUCUGCUCUGACCGCGGCCACCCCCUGCUGCGGAGCAGCGGCCUGAGGACCUGGCACGCCUUGCCAGGUGACGCGGCGUCCCGCGCGCGUGAACUCCAUGGUGAGGGCGUCGCAGUCCCACAGCACCGGCCCUAGCGCGCGAAUGAAGUCGAAGCCUAGGAUGACGUCGAAGGCUCCCAAGUCGAUGCCCACCCCUGUGACAGUGAAGUCCUCCUUGCCGAUGCAGAUGGGCACGUUCUGUGCGACACCUUCACACGUCAUGUGGUCCCCGUUGGCCACCUGAACCCGCAGGUGCUCGCCACCCGCAGGGGCCAACCCGAGGCGACGCAUCGCGGCUCCCUUGAUGAACGUGUGCGUGGAGCCGGAUUCGAGUAGGGCGAGGAAGCGCUCGGCCGUGAUGGUAACGGGAAGGAGCAUGGCGUUGGGCGGGCGAAUUCCUACAACAGCAUGGAGAGACACGACGAGUGCGUUAGCAUGGCUGUCGGCAGGCUCCUCCGGGUAAGCUGCGGCGUCGAAGUCUGCCGCAGCCGCUUCCUGUUCCUCCUCCUCGACAUAGUCGGCGGACUCCAAGUAGAACAGCCGAGGGCACACGUGUCCCCGGACAUAAGGUUCAUCACAGUUGAAACACAGCCCCUGGCGGCGGCGUUCCGCUUGUUCGGCCGGAGACAGGCGGCGGAACUGGCGAGCCGGUGGCGCCCCCUGGGCUCCUGCGUUUGUAGCAGCUCCCGACGCUGGAGCCCCAGCUGGUGGAAGCGGGGCGCGCGGAGGCAGGCCAGCGCGUGGUGGAGGUCGCGCGGCGCGCGGUGGUGGCGCAGUCUGCAUGGCCGCUGCCCGGCGCUCGAACGCCCGCGCCAAGUAGAUGGCCGUCUGGACGUCGGGCGGUUCGCGCAUCUCCACGUCGACCCGGAUGUACUCAGGGAGGCCACCAACAAAGAGGUCUGCCUUUAGCUUGGUGGAGAGGCCUUGGGCGUGGCAGGACACCGCCUGGAACCGGUCGGCGAACUCCUGGACGGUAGAGUGCCACGGCAGGCGCCCCAACUCCGCUGCUCUGGUGCCACGAAUAGGAGGACCGAAGCGCUGACGGCACAGGUCGACGAAGCGCUCCCACGACGGCAUGCCCUCGUCCUGCUCGAGGGCGUAGUACCACGUCUGAGCCAGCCCGCGGAGGUGAUAGGACGCCAUCCAUGUUCUGUCAGAGGCCGGCCAGCGUUGUCCCCUGAAAAACUGCUCGCAGUGAUUGAGCCAAUUCAGGGGAUCCUCAGAACCAUCAUAUGUCUCGAAGUCCAGGCGGUGAGUCUUGUGAGGCAGCCGAUCGAGGCUGCUCCCGCGUCCCAGCGGGUAGUGCUCGUUGUGGGCUCCCUGGUCGGUACCCAGGGACAAACCAGGACGUGCGGGCGCCGCUGUCGCAGCAGCUGUCGAGCCGGCGCUGGUGGCGUGGAACAGCAGUCCAUCCACGCCGCCGUACAGGGUGCCCGAUGCAUAGGGUCCCCCAUGGUCGACGGGACUGCCCGUCGAGGGCGCCGGUGGGAUGGCUGUCCGCAGCGGGGACGAGGAGUAGACCGGCGCGGCUCCGGGAUAGGGCGCCGCUGACGAACCAUAUGCCCACGUCGGGAUUGGCGAAGGAGACGGCGGAAACUGCAGCAGGUGGAGCGGUACUUGAGUCCCCACCGGCUGGGCAGAGGUUGCCGCCGAUGGCAUGGGAUCGGAGGGCAUCCCGUACGGGUAGGUGAUGAGCGGAACCGACGAUGACGGCAACGUAGGUGGCGGGUUGGGCGACUGGUGUGCUGGCGCCCCCUGCUGGACGCUGAGGAACGCCUUCAUCAUGUCCUGCAGCUCCUUGACGCUGUGGCUGAGGUGGACAAUGGAGGCCGUGACCUCCUCCGGCGUGAGGACCGGCCGCGGACGGACAGAGCCCGACAGCGGCUGGGACGAGGAAGGCAGCAGCGCACCCGAGGUUGCUGGAGGCGCACUGGAAGUUGGGGAAAUCAGCGAUUCCGUCGCGCCGGCGGCGGCAGCGGGCGGCUGCUCCAUGAUCGACAAGGUCUCUGAUACUAGGUUGAUAGGACUAGGAGCCCUACCGGAGUUGCUGCGUAGGUUGUAGGGGUGGAAGAUUGGAGGGCGAGGCCUGAGACCUCGGCAACGGCGCGUGGGCGCCGUUCUGCUGGCUGGAGCAGUUAGGGCAAAGGCGGCUAGGGUUUCUCCCGGCUCCCUGAGGAAGCCGGAAACAAUAAUAUGUUUCUGCUUAAUCCCCUCUGAAUAGUUCUUACAAUAUAUAUAUAGGUCUCUGGAAUAUAAUAUGAAAAUUAAUCUAAUUUAUCUCUAAUAAAUAUAAUAAAUAUGGGCCUUGACCCCAGCAGCCGCCAGCACCCCUUAGCCACCAUUGGGCCUGCGGCGCUGGUAUUGGAUGCCGGUCAUAACA
rnacentral:lncRNA from 1 species